rnacentral:rRNA from 1 species
AUUGAACGCUGGCGGAAUGCUUUACACAUGCAAGUCGAGCGGCAGCACGGGGGCAACCCUGGUGGCGAGCGGCGAACGGGUGAGUAAUACAUCGGAACAUGCCCAGUCGUGGGGGAUAACACUUCGAAAGAAGUGCUAAUACCGCAUACGUCCUGAGGGAGAAAGCGGGGGAUCGCAAGACCUCGCGCGAUUGGAGUGGCCGAUGUCAGAUUAGCUAGUUGGUGGGGUAAAGGCCUACCAAGGCGACGAUCUGUAGCUGGUCUGAGAGGAUGAUCAGCCACACUGGGACUGAGACACGGCCCAGACUCCUACGGGAGGCAGCAGUGGGGAAUUUUGGACAAUGGGGGCAACCCUGAUCCAGCCAUUCCGCGUGAGUGAAGAAGGCCUUCGGGUUGUAAAGCUCUUUCGGCAGGAACGAAACGGCGAGCUCUAACAUAGCUUGCUAAUGACGGUACCUGAAGAAGAAGCACCGGCUAACUACGUG